GGGGGAAAGAUUUAUCGCUACUAGAUGAGCCUAUGUCAGAUUAGCUAGUUGGUGGGGUAAUGGCCCACCAAGGCUGUGAUCUGUAGCUGGUCUGAGAGGAUGAUCAGCCACACUGGAACUGAGACACGGUCCAGACUCCUACGGGAGGCAGCAGUGGGGAAUAUUGGACAAUGGGCGCAAGCCUGAUCCAGCUAUGCCGCGUGAGUGAGGAAGGCCUUAGGGUUGUAAAACUCUUUCAGUAGGGAAGAUAAUGACGGUACCUACAGAAGAAGUCCCGGCAAACUCCGUGCCAGCAGCCGCGGUAAUACGGAGGGGGCAAGCGUUGUUCGGAAUUAUUGGGCGUAAAGGGCAUGUAGGCGGUUUGGUAAGUUAAAGGUGAAAUACCAGGGCUUAACCCUGGGGCUGCUUUUAAUACUGCAGGACUAGAGUCCGGAAGAGGAUAGCGGAAUUCCUAG
rnacentral:rRNA from 1 species